rnacentral:rRNA from 1 species
CCUACGGGUGGCAGCAGUGGGGGAUAUUGCACAAUGGGGGAAACCCUGAAGCAGCGACGCCGCGUGUGGGAAGACGGUCUUCUGGAUUGUAAACCACUGUCCCCAGGGACGAAAAUGACGGUACCUGGGGAGGAAGCUCCGGCUAACUACGUGCCAGCAGCCGCGGUAAUACGUAGGGAGCAAGCGUUGUCCGGAAUUACUGGGUGUAAAGGGAGCGUAGGCGGGGAUGCAAGUUGGGUGUAAAAACUACCGGCUCAACCGAGAGUCGCACUCAAAACUGCAGCUCUUGAGUGAAGUAGAGGCAGGCGGAAUUCCUAGUGUAGCGGUGAAAUGCGUAGAUAUUAGGAGGAACACCAGUGGCGAAGGCGGCCUGCUGGGCUUUUACUGACGCUGAGGCUCGAAAGUGUGGGGAGCAAACAGGAUUAGAUACCCCGGUAGUC